AUUGAACGCUGGCGGCGUGCUUAACACAUGCAAGUCGAGCGGUAACAGGCGUAGCAAUACGUGCUGACGAGCGGCGAACGGGUGAGUAAUGCUUCGGAAUCUUCCUCGUAGUGGGGAAUAACCUGGGGAAACUCAGGCUAAUACCGCAUACGAACUAUGGUUGAAAGCGGGGGAUCGCAAGACCUCGCGCUAUGAGAUGAGCCGAAGUCGGAUUAGCUAGUUGGUGAGGUAAAGGCUCACCAAGGCGACGAUCCGUAGCUGGUCUGAGAGGACGACCAGCCACACUGGGACUGAGACACGGCCCAGACUCCUACGGGUGGCAGCAGUGGGGAAUAUUGGACAAUGGGAGCAACCCUGAUCCAGCGACGCCGCGUGUGUGAAGAAGGCCUGCGGGUUGUAAAGCACUUUUAGUGGGGAUGAAAAGCACAGGGCUAAUACUCUUGUGUCUUGACCUAACCCAAAGAAAAAGCACCGGCUAACUCUGUGCCAGCCGCCGCGGUAA
rnacentral:rRNA from 1 species